GUUGAUCCUGGCUCAGGAUGAUCGCUGGCGGUCUGCUUAACACAUGCAAGUCGAACGCAACCUUCGGGUUGAGUGGCGGACGGGUGAGUAACGCGUGAGAAUCUGCCUUGGGGUCGGGGACAACCACUGGAAACGGUGGCUAAUACCGGAUAAGCCUUUGGGUAAAAAAUUUAUUGCCCCAAGAGGAGCUCGCGUCUGAUUAGCUAGUUGGUGAGGUAAGAGCUCACCAAGGCAGCGAUCAGUAGCUGGUCUGAGAGGACGAUCAGCCACACUGGGACUGAGACACGGCCCAGACUCCUACGGGAGGCAGCAGUGGGGAAUUUUCCGCAAUGGGCGAAAGCCUGACGGAGCAAGACCGCGUGAGGGAGGAAGGCUCUUGGGUUGUAAACCUCUUUUCUCAGGGAAGAAGCUCUGACGGUACCUGAGGAAUCAGCCUCGGUUAACUCCGUGCCAGCAGCCGCGGUAAUACGGAGGAGGCAAGCGUUAUCCGGAAUUAUUGGGCGUAAAGCGUCCGCAGGUGGCGAUUCAAGUCUGCUGUCAAAGCACGGGGCUUAACUCCGUUAAGGCAGUGGAAACUGAAUAGCUAGAGUGCCGUAGGGGUAGAGGGGAUUCCCGGUGUAGCGGUGAAAUGCGUAGAGAUCGGGAAG
rnacentral:rRNA from 1 species